rnacentral:misc_RNA from 1 species
GUGAGUCAUCGAAUCUUUGAACGCACAUUGCGCCCCUUGGUAUUCCGAGGGGCAUGCCUGUUCGAGCGUCAUUAUGACCACUCAAGCCUUGGCUUGGUAUUGGGGUUCGCGGUCUCGCGGCCCUUAAAAUCAGUGGCGGUGCUAUCUGGCUCUCAGCGUAGUAGUUUAUCUCGCUAUUGGGUCCAGUGGGUGCUCGCCAAUAACCCCUAACCUCUCUCACGGUUGACCUCGGAUCAGGUAGGGAUACCCGCUGAACUUAAGCAUAUCAAUAAGCGGAGGA